rnacentral:rRNA from 1 species
AUUGAACGCUAGCGGCAGGCCUAACACAUGCAAGUCGAGCGGAUGAAGGGAGCUUGCUCCUGGAUUCAGCGGCGGACGGGUGAGUAAUGCCUAGGAAUCUGCCUGGUAGUGGGGGAUAACGUCCGGAAACGGGCGCUAAUACCGCAUACGUCCUGAGGGAGAAAGUGGGGGAUCUUCGGACCUCACGCUAUCAGAUGAGCCUAGGUCGGAUUAGCUAGUUGGUGGGGUAAAGGCCUACCAAGGCGACGAUCCGUAACUGGUCUGAGAGGAUGAUCUGUCACACUGGAACUGAGACACGGUCCAGACUCCUACGGGAGGCAGCAGUGGGGAAUAUUGGACAAUGGGCGAAAGCCUGAUCCAGCCAUGCCGCGUGUGUGAAGAAGGUCUUCGGAUUGUAAAGCACUUUAAGUUGGGAGGAAGGGCAGUAAGUUAAUACCUUGCUGUUUUGACGUUACCAACAGAAUAAGCACCGGCUAACUUCGUG